rnacentral:pre_miRNA from 1 species
AAUAAACCAAUAUUUUACUUUAUACUACUAUGAUUGACUUUUCUUCUUAUUAAAAAAAUCAAUUAAUAUUUUUAUUUUUAUUAGAUGAUAAAUUAUGAAUAUUACUUUACAUGUGAUUAACUUUUUUAAAUUUUUUUAAAAAAUUAAAUAAGAUGGAUGGUCAAUCGCUGGACACGAAAACCGAAAGUUUGGUUUAUA